CAAAACCCUGUUUUUGCACUUGCAAAAACCCUCACGCAUCCAUGUCAAACUCAGAAUGAGAAAUUCGAACUCUCUGAUUUGGUGAACCCAAAGAAACAAUGUUUAGUGUUAGAAAUCUUCAGAGACAUUGCUCCUUCAAACCCUUUUCUUCCUUCUUUCAACUUCAACCAAAUCCCUUCAGAAAUGUUGUUGUGCCUUUAGGACAAGGAAUAGAGCAAAGAAACAUUGAUGAUGAUAAAGUUGGUUUUUAUUGUUAUGUUAAACCGAUGAAUCUUUUGAAUGGAUCCUUGUAUCGGACAAUGUCAACGACAAGAGGAAGGAGUAUGCGAAGCAAGGUGGAGAGAAGAAUGCAAAAAGAGUCUGGGAAGACGUUAAGGGAGAUUCGAAGAGCUAAGAAAUUGAAGAAGAAACUUAUGACCGAGGAGGAGCGGCUCGUUUACAAUCUCAAAAGAGCGAAGAAGAAAAUUGCAUUGCUACUACAAAAACUCAAGAAAUAUGACCUGCCAGAGCUGCCUCCUCCACGGCAUGAUCCAGAGCUCUUUACACCUGAACAGCUCCAGGCGUAUAAAAAAAUUGGAUUCAAGAAUAAGAAUUAUGUUCCUGUUGGAGUUCGUGGAGUCUUUGGAGGAGUUGUGCAAAAUAUGCAUCUCCAUUGGAAGUUUCAUGAAACUGUCCAAGUUUGUUGUGACAACUUCCCCAAGGAAAAGAUAAAAGAAAUGGCUUCAAUGCUUGCCAGAUUGAGCGGUGGGAUUGUGCUUAACGUUCAUAAUGUGAAAACAAUCAUUAUGUUCCGUGGUAGAAAUUAUCGGCAACCCAAAAACUUGAUACCAAUUAACACCCUUACAAAGAGGAAGGCCCUAUUCAAGGCCAGAUUUGAGCAAGCUCUUGAAUCUCAGAAGCUAAAUAUCAAGAAAAUUGAACAAGAGCUCCGACGAAUGGGAGUAAAUCCUGAGGAUCCAACCGCAAUGGCCAGCAUCCAAAGAGUUGCUUCCACAUUCUUCAAUGCCAUUGACAAGAAAGAAGGAAGUCCUUAUGUCUUCCGUGGAGAUAAACCGUCGGUUAUAGAACCUAAUGAAGGUUUGGAAGAAUUGGAUCCUUCUGCUGAUAGUGAUCAGGAGGAGCUGGAUCAGUUUAUUGCUGAUAUAGAGGAUGCUGCAGAUAAAGAAUAUGAAGAAGAAGAGGCCAAAGAAAAAGAAGAGUUUGGUAGACUUCGGUAUUGGAAUAGAGAAGAGUAUGGUGGAAGAUUCAGAAGAUCAGAUGAUUCUAGAAAUGACGACUAUGAUGGGGAGGUUAGAGGUUCAAGGGCUCGACAGCCAAUACAUCCCAAGUAUCGGACAAACGAUAGUGACAAUGAAGAAAAUGCUCAUUCUGACAAUGAUGAUGAGGAUGAUGAUGAUGAUGAGUGGCAUUCCGGUAGUAUUGUAGAUGAUAUUGAUAUUGAUAUUGAUAUUGACAACAAUUCUAAUGGAUCCGAUGAAGCUAGAGGUAGGUUCAAGGAAAGUAGGGGGAGAGGAGAAAGGAAAAAUAAUGUUGGUAUUGGCAAGGCUCAAGUUAAUGGAGGUUCCAGCAGACACAGCGAAGCUAAAUUUAUGAGGAAUAUGGCCAUACAAGGUUCUGAAUCAGAAGGUACGCUCAGUGAAGUUGAAAAUGCAAUGUGGGAGUCUGAUGAAGAGGAGAACAGCUCGGUACAUUUGAAACGAGCCAGUAGUGGUAACUACAAGAGCAGCAGCAGCGAUGAUGAUGAACAUAAUGAUCAAUUAAAGAGCAACAAAAAGAACGGUGCGAGGGACCAUAAUAGUUUUAACACACGGAAGAAUGGGAGAGGUAGGCAAGAAGGAAUUGGCAGAACUAAAUCCGAGUCCACAGAUGCGUUAAGCGGUUCGGAAGACUGGACGUGGCAAUCAGAUGGUGAGGAGGAAUCAAGAGCUGAUGUUAAGGACUCCCCCACAAGCCUUAAUAAUCGUAAUAUGGUCAAAAGUGAUAUCCAUAAGAAGAGAUCACCAAAGGGUGCAGAUGAGGCUUGGGACAGUGAUUAGCCCCAAGUAAAUACAAGAUCAUAAUCCAUUGUAGGUUUAGACUUUGUUUGACAAGAAGACAGACAUCUUGAACCGAUAAGAAGCAACAUGCGGCUCUAUCGAAGUGUACUUUCUGAUAGCAUUAUUUGUCUAGAUGCAUACUUUCUGGUGAUAUAAAAUUUGUGUUUUUUAGGAAGUUGCUUAGGGGUGUGAGAAAAUUUUCGCUCAAACAAAGUAUCGGUUGGGUCAAACAAAAUCAUCAAGGGAAGAAGUUGAAUUUAAUCUUGUUGAGAGAGAGAUAGAGAUGUGGAAUUUAUUACUAGCAAAGUACAUGACAUAUUUUGUGAAGUAAAUAAAUGUUUGCUAAGGAAAAAAAUUUGUGGAUCUUGUUCUUCGAAAUGGUACAUUGGCCGAGGACCUGACUAAGACCGGCAGUAGUUUCCAGUCUGAGCAAAGAGUGAGUGGAGGCGCCGAAAGAGUCCAAACAGAGACACUCCGUAGAGAUUUCCAAGAAGCAUC